UGCGCCGGGGACCUCCGCCAGUCCGCGAGUUUCGCGCACUGGCUCGUUUGUG
rnacentral:sRNA from 1 species